GCGAUGUGGUGGAGUGGAAAAGACUUUUAAUUGGUGGUAACACAACAAAGGAAAUAGAAUACCCCUCCUUGGAAGAGGGAGGAGCCUGCAGUGACAGGCACCAUGCAAGAAAGAGCCCAGUUCUGAGACUGAGACAUCUGGGCCAUGGUCCUGGCUCCAUGACUACCACAGCAUGCCUGUGGGCAGCCCAUUCAGCCUCUCUGACCACUAUUACAUCUUUGUAAAAUUCGGUGCCCAUCUUUGCAGAGUUGUUAGGAUUAUAUAGGGGAGUGGAUUUAAAGUAUCUAGCAAAAUGCCUGGCACCAAAGUAAAUGCACAUUUAAUAAAAGCUGCUAUUGAUGUUAUUAGCAGUACAGCUUAAAAUUGUCUAGGACCUUGGAAAGCCACAGGAUUAGAAAAAUAAAAAUAAGAUGGUGAUAUUUUAAAAACAAGCCAAUCAUAUACUAAAGGAAUAUGAGGAAAAAGGAUAGAGAAUAGCAUAGGAAACUUAUUUUUAGUAGUAUGCCCUUUAAAUAGACCUCCCUCUCUCCUUACCUGGAGAAGAAGCCAGCUUCCAAUAAAAAGCUUUUUUUGAAAAAUAUUUUCGAAGUUUCCUCUAACAAGACUUUGAAGGGGGGAUUUUUUUUUUUUUUUUUUGCUAACUCAUAUUUCUUCAGUUCCCACAUUAAAUGUCAUCUCCUUAGAAAGGCAUCCCUGAUGUUCCAAACUAAGGCUCCACCAACUUUUUCUAUAAAGGGACAGAGCAUAGAUAUUUUACUUGUAAAAUGUACUUUGCCAAUCUUCUAUGGUCUCUGUCACAUCAUAUUAUUAUUCCUAAAUUUACAACCCUUUAAAAAUGUUAAAAAAAAAAUUGGUCAUAGGUUUGUAGACCACAGUUUGUUGGUUCCUGUUCCAAAUUUCAGUCGUCCCUGAUAGUCUUUUGGCAGCAUACUAUUGCUUUUCCUUUGUAUCACAUGUCUCUAUUUGAUGUUAUAUAUUUAUUUGUUUGAUAUUUGCCAAACUCCUGUGACUGUAAACUCCUGGACGAAGGGACCAUGUUGAUUUUGCUUGAGGAGAGUUCGACACUGUGUCUCUAGCACAGAGAUGUACACAUAGUAGGUACUCCAUUAAUAUUUGUUCAAUAAAUAAAACAAUCUAAAAGUAAUUCCUAUUCACUGUAAGAAAAUCUGAGGAAUACCCCCCAAAAUGUAUAAAAGGUAAAGCAAUAAUCUAUUCAUCAUACCACCACUCAGAGACAGCUGUUGUCAGCAGGCUUUAUUUUUGUAUUUGUAUUGGUACGUGUAUAACUACAUACUGUAUUUACACGAUAGAAAUCUUUCUGUCUCGAAAGCUUCAUAGUCUAGCUUUUCACUUAAUAAACAACUCAGCAAAGAAUAUUUUAUGCAUAUGUCUUUGUUGGUGUUUCUAGUUAUUUGCUCAGAAUAGAUUCCAAGAAAUCGAAUCAUGAGAUCGAAGGAGAUCAACAAGUUUGUGGCUCUUGAGACACAAUGCCAAAUAUCCUUCUAGAGAGCUGGCAGAUAUCAGAAACCUCUUCUCAGCUUUAGAGAUGCUUUUCACACAGACAGAAGAUUUCCUCUCCACACCAGAGGCAGCAGGAUAAGAUGUACCAUCAGACCGCACUGGCUUACCGUGGUGACAAGAAAGAAGAGGCCCUGACUGGGGGAAACUAAAGACUUUGCCUGGCAACCUAGAGACUUUAUCAUCGCAGGAGAUGGAUAACCAAGAUGAAACCAUGAGACAACAUUCUGGGCCAAGCAGUGAGCAAUGAGGAGACCCAGACCCCAGGUUCCUGGCUGUGUCUUUGGCUAAAAAGAAGAGGCAUUAAGACAGAUUCCCUGAGGAUACUUCAAGAACCCUGAAAUUGCCUUGCUCACAUACCACCACACUAGAGAUGUUUCAGAAAAGCAGCUUCCCUUUUGGUGCCUCCAAUCCAGAAUGACUCCAGGUGAGACGGGACCCACCGAGAGGUGAGGCAGAGAGGACAAGGCAAGGACAAAACUUCUUUGGACUAUUUUCUGCACAUCCCCAGCAGAGAUUGAUGAAUGCCUCUGAGUCAGCAAAAUCUCCAGUGGUGAAACAGAAAGCGUACACUCCACACAUUCAAGCAGCCAGGCCAGCCCACACGGAGAAGAGGAUGUUCACAUCCAGCCUGUUCAGUGGACCCCAUGGGGCAUUUCAAAGGCUAUUACAUUUCCAGGACCUUCUAUCACACCCCCUUUCUUCCAUCCCUGCUAAUAUUUGUGACUUUCCAGCUUUCUUCUCUGAAAUUAAAAUCAAACCUUUGCAAAGUGAAAAUCAGUUCAUCUGAGCUAGUGCUGGUUAAGAUUUACAAAAUAAAGAGGAAUUUUACACCCAC
rnacentral:lncRNA from 1 species